rnacentral:rRNA from 1 species
GAUGAACGCUGGCGGCGUGCCUAAUACAUGCAAGUCGAGCGAACAGACGAGGAGCUUGCUCCUCUGACGUUAGCGGCGGACGGGUGAGUAACACGUGGAUAACCUACCUAUAAGACUGGGAUAACUUCGGGAAACCGGAGCUAAUACCGGAUAAUAUAUUGAACCGCAUGGUUCAAUAGUGAAAGACGGUUUUGCUGUCACUUAUAGAUGGAUCCGCGCCGCAUUAGCUAGUUGGUAAGGUAACGGCUUACCAAGGCAACGAUGCGUAGCCGACCUGAGAGGGUGAUCGGCCACACUGGAACUGAGACACGGUCCAGACUCCUACGGGAGGCAGCAGUAGGGAAUCUUCCGCAAAGGGCGAAAGCCUGACGGAGCAACGCCGCGUGAGUGAUGAAGGUCUUCGGAUCGUAAAACUCUGUUAUUAGGGAAGAACAAAUGUGUAAGUAACUAUGCACGUCUUGAUGGUACCUAAUCAGAAAGCCACGGCUAACUACGUG